GACGAACGCUGGCGGCGUGCUUAACACAUGCAAGUCGAACGAUGAAGCCUAGCUUGCUAGGUGGAUUAGUGGCGAACGGGUGAGUAAUACGUGAGUAACCUACCUUUAACUCUGGGAUAAGCCCGGGAAACUGGGUCUAAUACCGGAUACGACCAAUCUCCGCAUGGGGUGUUGGUGGAAAGCGUUAUGUAGUGAUUAUAGAUGGGCUCACGGCCUAUCAGCUUGUUGGUGAGGUAACGGCUCACCAAGGCGACGACGGGUAGCCGGCCUGAGAGGGUGACCGGCCACACUGGGACUGAGACACGGCCCAGACUCCUACGGGAGGCAGCAGUGGGGAAUAUUGCACAAUGGGCGCAAGCCUGAUGCAGCGACGCCGCGUGAGGGAUGACGGCCUUCGGGUUGUAAACCUCUGUUAGCAGGGAAGAAGAGAGAUUGACGGUACCUGCAGAGAAAGCGCCGGCUAACUACGUG
rnacentral:rRNA from 1 species